rnacentral:rRNA from 1 species
CGCAACGAGCGCAACCCUUAUCCUUUGUUGCCAGCGGUUCGGCCGGGAACUCAAAGGAGACUGCCGGUGAUAAACCGGAGGAAGGUGGGGAUGACGUCAAGUCAUCAUGGCCCUUACGACCAGGGCUACACACGUGCUACAAUGGCGCAUACAAAGAGAAGCGACCUCGCGAGAGCAAGCGGACCUCAUAAAGUGCGUCCUAGUCCGGAUUGGAGUCUGCAACUCGACUCCGUGAAGUCGGAAUCGCUAGUAAUCGUGGAUCAGAAUGCCACGGUGAAUACGUU